rnacentral:rRNA from 1 species
GAUGAACGCUGGCGGCGUGCUUAACACAUGCAAGUCGAACGAUGAAGCCCAGCUUGCUGGGUGGAUUAGUGGCGAACGGGUGAGUAACACGUGAGUAACCUGCCCUUAACUCUGGGAUAAGCCUGGGAAACUGGGUCUAAUCCCGGAUAGAGCCUUCCACCGCAGGGGGGGGGUGGAAAGGUUUUAUCGGUUUUGGAUGGACUCGCGGCCUAUCAGCUUGUUGGUGAGGUAAUGGCUCACCAAGGCGACGACGGGUAGCCGGCCUGAGAGGGUGACCGGCCACACUGGGACUGAGACACGGCCCAGACUCCUACGGGAGGCAGCAGUGGGGAAUAUUGCACAAUGGGCGCAAGCCUGAUGCAGCGACGCCGCGUGAGGGAUGACGGCCUUCGGGUUGUAAACCUCUUUCAGUAGGGAAGAAGCGAAAGUGACGGUACCUGCAGAAGAAGCACCGGCUAACUACGUG